AGAAGCCAAAGUUUUAGUCAAGAUGUGAAAAAACAAUGUUUGGAAGCAAUGAUGGAGAAGCCAUGUGCCCUAUCAAAUUACCUUUGAAGCAUUUUAGGAAAUUUUUUUAUUCUUUCCCAUUUAGUAAUGAUGGAAGCUAUUCUACUAUGUCAUGCAAUCAUCUUCCUUUCAGGCUUUGUUGGAUACCAACUGGAAAGAUAUGAUUCCACAUGCUGCUUCACCACCCAAAUCCAAUCUAAAAGGUGCCAAUCUUUACUUAAAAACAAAAAAAAAAAAAAAAAAGUGAACUAUACAAAAUAAAAUUUUGAGAUUCAUUAUUUGUUGUAAUUUUGUUAUAUUUCUUUUAUUUUUGAGAAUUUCAUGCAACACCUUUUAGAAAUUUUUACUAUUCUUAACUGAUUCAAUUUUAGGUAAGUUAAGUUAGAAUUUAUUUGGAUUUAUUAUUUUUCAAUCAUACAUCAUCCUCCUUAGGUGAUAUUUGAUCGGGAGUAAGUAGACCAGGGAAGUGUAACUUCCUCAAGUGCAUAAAAUGUUUAUAUUUAAUUUUCAUUAUUAAUUUUACUUGCCGGCAAGUAGACUAUCCAACUUCCAUUCUAUAAUGGGAAGUAACUUCCUUUUAAGGAUGACUAAGGAAGUUGUACUUCCUAGUUAAAUUCAAUGACCACUUUACUUAUUAUCUAAACACACUUAAAUUUAUAAUAUGAACAUUAUUGUCUUUUGUAAUUUACUUUCUAAGAAGUUGAUUUGCAUAUCAAAUAUGUUCAAAUUAUAUUUCCUGGGAAAUUAUUUCCUUGAAAGUGUUAUCUUUCCGAGAAGUAUAAUUUUUGGAUAAUAGAUCAUUUUGAACGAAAGAAUGCCUUAAAUUAGCUAGAUAUCAUUGGAGGUUCAUGAAAUCCAAUGACAUUUUAUUUUGAAUUAAACUUAACUAGAUUGGUUCUGUGGCUCCAACUUAUGAAAAACCCAGAAAAUUAGAAUUUUUUUUUUAAAAGUUCUCAUUUUUUUUCUCCGUAUAUAGUCAGAAAUACUUUCAUUGAAUACUUUCGUUUUCAACAAAAGUAAAUAUUUUUAACUUGUUUGGUCCUUUAAUGGCCUGUAAACGGGCCCUAUAAACUGAGUUUAGGCAAGUUAAUUCAUAUAUAUUAUUCUUUUUUUUUUUAACAUAGUAAAAGGUAAAAGGGAGUUCAAAUCUGAAUGUGUCAACAUUUGGAAUGGGGAGAAGGAUGAUCAUAAUAUUUCAAUUCUAUAUUAUAUAUAUUACAUACCAUCAACCUAAUCACGAAUCUUGUUAUAUGAAAAAUUAUUAUGUACCAUUUGGGAUCAAACUCGUGCGUUUGCAAAAUGCCAAUUUUGCAUUUUAUUUUACAAAUGCUAAGUUAAUUGCAUGUUACAAAUUUUAAAAUCUCUACAUAAAAAUCCAUGUACAGUUGAUGAAAGACCAUAUAUUCACUGACUCACAAUAUCAGUAAUUGUCACUCUAUUUACAGAACAAAAUUCUUCUUGUCUCACUAAUGAAUUAGAAUUAUCACCCAACUCUCUCAAGAUAUCUUUAAUUUACAUCUCAACAAGAUAACCAAGAGAACAAAGCAACCCCGCAUGUUUUCUACGCUAGAUAGACAAAAAAGACGUCAAUCAAUCUCCGGUUGCACAGCCCCUGCAACCGCAAUGGACACAUUCUAUAACCUCUUCUCUCAGGUUCUUAGGCACCCAGCAAACACAUGUCGUUGCGAAGUUGUGAACUUGUGAUCUCGCGGUUGCAUGCAACUUAAGCAGCAGAGACGUUCAUAACCCGGCUGUAACUCAAGCAGGCCACAAAAAUUAAGUAAGAAUCAUAUAGUCAUAUGAAAUCGCAAAAAAUUUUUAUCAAACAAUAAAUAGAAAAUGAAUCUCAUAUAUAUAUAAACUUUUUGUUCAACUUAUUUUUCUGCCACUAACCAAAAAUCCAAAAGUAUUUAUUCAUGCUGUUGGUGAUUAGCCACAUUCAACUUCAUAUAUCGGUUUGUUUUCAACACAAGAUCAAAAAAGAAAAAUUAGAAUUGCAAUUUCAAUUAACAAACUUGUAAGACUAACCUUCUUCCACUUUGCAACAAAAUUCCGGUCAGUGUAGCCUUGUUCCAAACAGAAUUCAUACAAUUCCUUGGAUAUUUCUUUCCUUUGAUGAUAAAGAUCGAAAAUGCAGUGGCUCUUUUGAUGCGCUAUCUUAAAAAUAGGCCGUAAAGCCUCGAAUUUUCUCUUACCAUUGUGUGGGUCAUUCUCAGCUGUCCAAACAAUUGAAGACAUACCACUAUCAGGUUUACAAAGCUCAAAAACAUAACAAGGGAAUGCUAGCCUAACUACAGUCAUUUCCCAUUCAACACUCGCCUCACCGCUUAGUUGGUCCACUUUAUCUCGCAAUUUUAAUAGAUGACCGGUAGCCUAUUACAACCAGUUACCAACUCUUUUAAUUUUCAAAGAAUGGAGAAAAAACCAAUUUAACACAACACUGCUAACAUGAUGUCCUAAACAAUGUCUGCUAAAAUUGAGAGAUGAAUGGACCAAUUAAAAGUUGGUGUCUUUUGAUAGAAAAAGAACUAAAAGCUGACUGUAGCUAUGACGAUUCCCCAUUAAAGUAUUAUGUUGUGAAGAACACUAACCUUCUCUCAUUUUUGCUGGUAGUACACGUGGAGUAGGCUCAAUCAAUUCCCAGCCCUCAGGGUACUUGACACGAUUAGUCUUCACCUUUGGCAUUUUUUCCUGUUUGAUCUGCCAUCAG
rnacentral:lncRNA from 1 species